GUUCGAGCGUCAUUAUAACCACUCAAGCCUGGCUUGGUAUUGGGGUCUUCGCGUGCUCGCGGCCCUUAAAAUCAGUGGCGGUGCGUCUGGCUCUAAGCGCAGUAAUUUCUCUCGCUAUAGGGUUCCGGUGGUUACUUGCCAAAACCCCCCAUUUUUUCUAGGUUGACCUCGGAUCAGGUAGGGAUACCCGCUGAACUUAA
rnacentral:misc_RNA from 1 species